AGUCUUGCUCGAGGCCUGCUCGAAAUCAAAAAACAAAUCACAAAAAAAACGAGGGAUAACACACAAAAAAACAACAAACAAAAAAGGUCAUUAUCUGUCCAAGUCUGUCUUUCCU
rnacentral:ribozyme from 15 species